AACGAACGCUGGCGGCAGGCUUAACACAUGCAAGUCGAACGCACCGCAAGGUGAGUGGCAGACGGGUGAGUAACACGUGGGGAUCUGCCCAAUGGUACGGAACAGCUCCGGGAAACUGGAAUUAAUACCGAAUGUGCUCUUCGGGGGAAAGAUUUAUCGUCAUUGGAUGAACCCGAGUCGGAUUAGCUAGUUGGUGUGGUAAAGGCGCACCAGGGCGACGAUCCGUAGCUGGGCUGAGAGGAUGAUCAGCCACACUGGGCCUGAGACACGGCCCAGACUCCUACGGGAGGCAGCAGUGGGGAAUAUUUGACAAUGGGCGCAAGCCUGAUCCAGCAAUGCCGCGUGAGUGAUGAAGGCCCUAGGGUUGUAAAGCUCUUUCGCCGACGAAGAUAAUGACGGUAGUCGGAGAAGAAGCCCCGGCUAACUUCGUGCCAGCAGCCGCCGUAA
rnacentral:rRNA from 1 species